rnacentral:snRNA from 1 species
AGCUUUGCGCAGUGGCAGUAUCGUAGCCAGUGAGGUGAAUCCGAGGCACGAUUAUUGCUGUAAAUUUUU